UCAUUUUGCUCAGUGCAGAGUGGCCAAAAGCAAGUUGUAUUGGGAAAAAGAGAAAAAGAGAGGAGAGAAAGAAGGAAAGAAAAGAGAAAGAGAAAAAAAAAGGGAAGAAAAAGAAAUAAAAAACGAAAAAAAAAAAGAAAAAGAGAAAGAAAAAGAAAGGAGAAAAAAAGGGGGUGGGGGAAGGAAACAAAUCAAAAAGCAAAACAAAACCAAAACAAAAAAAAAACAAACAAAAAAAGAACCACCGGGGAGUAUCUUCUGAUUCUGUGUUCUUUAAGUCCCUUGGCUUCUCCUGGAAGUUGUCCGUCUAGCUGGUGUUCUGGGGGAGGGGCCUGUUGUGCUGAUUCUCAGGUGUUCGCAGUUGGGGGAGCUGCUGUGCCCCUGCCUGGUGCAGGGCUCAGUGGGGGUUGUUUACCCCGUGAGGCCGCAGGAGGAACAGCCCCAGUGGCGGGGCAGCUCUGGAAACCUGGAUUCAGCUCCGGCAGGAACUCCGUCUGCAGGGCCUGGAGGCUCCGGGGCGGGGCCGCUGAUCUGCUCAGCUGGGGCAGGAGCGUCCUUGCUGUCCUGGGCCCUCCCGGCCUCUGCCUGUCCCGGGGGAGGCGGGAUCCUGGGCUGUGUCCCGGCGCCCUGUGCUCCGGAGCCUGCGCUGUUGGAUUCGCGCUCCCGGGCCGCGCAGCCCCUUCCGCGGAGCUGCCGCCCAAGCCCCUCCGAGCUGCUCCUGGAACCGCGCAGCCCCCUCCGCACGGAGCCUCUUUCUCUGCCCGAGCCCCUCCAGCUGCUCCGGGUCCCGCCGUGCGCGCUGCAGCCCUUAGGGAGCUCGGCGCACUCUCCUGGGCGCGCAGUUGCUGUUACUGUCCCGGGGAGCCCGAGGGCAUCCUCGCCCUCCCGGGUCCUGCUCCACCUCCCUGGAGCCCCUUUCCGCCCGGGAAGGUCGGUGCAGCUCCUGCGUCUCCGGGACGGGGCUCUCCUGUCCUGGGGACACUCGCCCCGGCCUCAGCCCGGCUCCUCGCGGGGCCCCUCCCCCUUGGAGGCCUUUGUUUCUUUAUUUCUUUUUCCCCGUCUUCCUACCUUGAUAGAUGCGCGAACUCUUCUCACUGUAGCAUUCCAGCUGGUCUCUCUUUAAAUCUCAGGCCGAAUUCAUAG
rnacentral:lncRNA from 12 species